GCGAACGUGGCGGAACUGGCAGACGCACCAGACUUAGGAUCUGGCGGCCGAAAGGCCAUGGGAGUUCGACCCUCCCCGUUCGCACCA
rnacentral:tRNA from 1 species